GUGCUAGCCCCCGCGCGGGUGCCCGCGUCCCGGCCCGGAAGAGAGGCGGGACGACGGCGCGUCCUCUCCCCGCAAGAUUACCUCGCAGCGCGUAGCCGGCUUUGUGUUUCCCCUCCCUCCUUCUCGGCAGCCGCCCGGGCUGCAGCAGCCGCCGGAUCCGCCGCUGCGGCCGCCUCUUAAGCGCCGCAGAGCCCCAGAGGGUGUGGAUUCUGCAAUGCUGCACAGAAACCUACUGCAGCCUCAGACCAACAGCAGCAGCAGCAGCGGCGGCGGCGGCAGCAGCAGCAGCAGCAUUAGCAGCAGCAGCUUCUCUCAAUGCUGAGUAGCCAAGAAGCCAGUGUGUCCUCUCCUGGCUCUCAUUCCCUUCCUGCUAGUUGAAUACAGAUAAUCAUGAGGCCCAAGACCCUAAGGAACAGUGCAGCCAGGAGUCGGAAGGAGCCUGGGUUUCUGAAUCAUCACAUGGAGGGGAGCUGUCUUCAGCUGGGAGAGCUGUCUUCAGUUGGAUACUGGGAGGAAGAAAGGGAGCUGGUUAGGAAGCAAACUUGAGUUUCCCAUGCUCUGUGGCUGAGCAAGUCACUUCACCAUUCUCAGGAUGGAAGUGGGGAUGGAGGUGGCAUCGGCCUCAUUUGAACCACAUGGACUAAGAGGGGCUAUGGGAGUAUUCCCCAAAGGAAGACUGAGGGGCGUUACUAGAAAAUGGGAGAAUGGAAGCAGAGUGGGCAAAACCAACAGAUGUUCCCUAUAGUAAAUAAAAAAUUUGGACAAUUAUUAGUGAGCAAGUACUUAUAACAUAUAUGGCACAUGGGAUUGUGACUCACCAGUGUGUUAGCACAAUAUGGUCAAAAACCUCUGAUCCAAUUCAACCUACUCAUCUUAACGAUUUUAUCAGCAUUUAAUAAGUUUGUUUUGGCCAUCAUGUGUUAUAGUUUUGUUUGUGGUUUUGACACCUCAUUAGAGGUUUCAUCAGUGUAAGGAGCCAACCUAAGAGCUCUUCUCACAAGUUUCCCAAGAGAGAAAUUGCCCCUCCAAAUGUGAGGAGUCUCACUUUAUAUAGAUAGCAUCCACACUUCUUGCAGUGGAAAACAAACCUUAUAAAAUGUAAUACGUUUGGUUUCCUAACUUUUUCAUGACCCUGGGGUGGUAGAAGGAAGUGCAAGUUUUAUCACUUGGAUUUAGAGACAAGGAAAUUGAAAUGGAGAGAGAAUUGGGCUCACAUGCAGGCAGCAUGUCUAGCUGCCUCCAUCGUGUGAUCUGAGGCACCCCAUGAGGCCUAUGAUUACUGUAAACCUCUAAAAUAAAUAAAAAAUAAAACAAUCUCU
rnacentral:lncRNA from 1 species